CAGCUUGUUGGUGGGGUAACGGCCUACCAAGGCGACGACGGGUAGCCGGCCUGAGAGGGCGACCGGCCACACUGGGACUGAGACACGGCCCAGACUCCUACGGGAGGCAGCAGUGGGGAAUAUUGCGCAAUGGGCGAAAGCCUGACGCAGCGACGCCGCGUGGGGGAUGAAGGCCUUCGGGUUGUAAACCCCUUUCAGCAGGGACGAAGCGAAAGUGACGGUACCUGCAGAAGAAGCGCCGGCUAACUACGUGCCAGCAGCCGCGGUAACACGUAGGGCGCAAGCGUUGUCCGGAAUUAUUGGGCGUAAAGAGCUCGUAGGCGGUCUGUUGCGUCCGCUGUGAAAACUCGGGGCUUAACCCCGAGCCUGCAGUGGAUACGGGCAGACUAGAGGUAGGUAGGGGAGAAUGGAAUUCCCGGUGUAGCGGUGAAAUGCGCAGAUAUCGGGAGGAACACC
rnacentral:rRNA from 1 species